rnacentral:lncRNA from 1 species
GCCAAGUCGUGAUAAGUACAACAACAAAAAAAACGCAAAGAGGGAUCUAGCGUGUGGGAGUAUUGAAUGUGGGAGGGUUUACCUUAAAUAGGGUGGUCUGGAGGUCUCACUGAGGAAGUGACAUCUGGGCAGGGACCACAAGAAAAUGAGAAAGCCAGCAUUGUGAGUGCCCGGGGAGAAAAUUCCAAGUGAGAGGACAGCAGGGCAAAGGCCUCGAGGCAAGAGUGGGCUGUGGUGCCUGAGGACCAGCAAGAAGGCCAGUGCAGCAGGAGCAAAGUAGGCAGAGUGGCAGGAGAUGAGACCAGGGAGGUGGCAGUGGGCCAGAUGACAUGGAGCCUGGGAGGUCAUGGUCAAGACUUCAGUGGCUAGGAACAGUGGCAGCAGGGGAAGUGGUGGAUAUAUUUUGAAGGUAGAGCCAAUGAAGGAUUUACUGAUAUAUUUACUGUAGAGUGUGAGUAAAGGAAACACAUCAAAGGAGACCUUAAACUGGUUUUGGUCUGAGCACUGAAAGAACGAAGGUGCCAUGUAGUCUUUUACUGAGCUAGGGAACGCUGUGGAAUGAGCAGGUUUGGGGGGAAGAAAAGGUUUGAUUUUAGAUAGUAUGUGGGCCAUGUCUAUCAGACGUCCAGGUCAAGGCAUUGAGUAAGAGUUAAGCAUUCAAGGCGGGUGAUUCUAUUAGCACUUUUCUCUGGAGGGAUGGUCUCAUUAUGGCUAUGUUAAAGAAAGGCCACCAUUUUUAAUGGGCAGUGGUUGAACAGACCAGUUCCAUCCAAUUUAAUGCAGCAGUCAUCCUUCACCCCAAUUAAGUUCACCCUGACUUCACACCGUUACCUGUGGUGGAAAUCCAGGGGGAACAAGGCAAUGGAGGGUGGUGGGGAGCAGGACUUGGCAGCAGGCCAUGGUUGGAACUCCAGGAAGGCAGAUGGGGCCUUGAUCCCACAAUAGAGCUUUGGUCCUUGGGGAGCCUGGAGAGAGUCAGGUGAGAUCCCGGGCCCAGAUCGGUGUCCUCGACCGUAAGCAUGGUGACACCUUGAGCAGAAUGAGGAAGCAGGAAGUGGAGCCAGCUGUUGGAGCAGACGAGUUCUCUUUUCACAGGCAAGGAACAGAAUGUUUCGCCCAAGGAUGAUUCCGCCCCUGUGGAGCCAACCCACGGCCAUGGCCUUCUGAGCAGGGGCAUUAACUGAGCCAAAUGUGCAGGAAAAGAACUAAUGAGGUGCAGGGCCUGGAGGUCGGUGAGCUGGGUGGUGAGGGAUGUGUGUGUGUCCCGGUAGCAAACUUCAGGGCCUUGGGGUGGGUGCCUCUAGAAGAACAACACACCCUCUGCUUUUCUUACUUGAUUCAGGCGACGUCGUUGACCACCGCCAAGAGGCUGCAUGGGGCCCAGCUCAGAGUCCAGCUCAGAGGGGUGACAAAGAAGAGAGUCCUUGACACUGCCCUUGAGAUGUCCAUAGUCUAAUUGUGACAAUAAUAUAUUUAAGAACUCGAGGCCAUUUAGAAGAUGAAGAGAAGAUAUUAGGGAGGUGGGGUGAGGGUAUAGAAAAACUGAGGUGCCCCAGCCUGCUGUGUGACCUUGAGUCUCCUUAACAUCUUGGCUCCUCAGCUUCCCUGUCUAAGAAAUGAGGUCAAUGCCAUCUGUCCUUUUUCAUUUAGGCCUUGCGUGGUGAAUGAAGUGACAGGUGGAGGGUCCUGCAGAGGAGAGAGAACUGGAACGUGGGCCUGCCGUGGGAGGUUUCUCUCUGCCCACUUCCUGUCCCUUCUUAAGGAAUGCUCAGAGCAGGGGACUUUAUCCCUCCUCAUCCCAAGCUGAAAAGUUAAGCAAGAUGUGACCUUGCUAUGUGAGAUUUGAUAAUCAAAAAUCCAAUGGUUAGUCUAGCCUAUCUCUGUAAAGAAACACAAGAAACUGGUAACACUGCUUUUCCCUGGGGAGGAGAGCCGGGCAAUUGAGUGAAAGGCG